rnacentral:rRNA from 1 species
UGCCUCAUACAUGCAAGUCGAACGAUAAGGUUUCUUCGGAAAUACAUAAGUGGCGGACGGGUGAGUACAACAUAGGAAAUCUGCCCUAGAGUGGGGGAUAACAGAGGGAAACUUCUGCUAAUACCCCAUACGAGCUGACUUGAAAUAGUCAUCUUGAAAACUCCGGUGCUCUGGGAUGAGCCUGUGCCUGAUUAGCUGGUUGGUGGUGUAAUGGACUACCAAGGCGACGAUCAGUAGCUGGUUUGAGAGGAUGAUCAGCCACAAUGGGACUGAGACACGGCCCAUACUCCUACGGGAGGCAGCAGUAGGGAAUUUUGCGCAAUGGGCGAAAGCCUGACGCAGCAACACCGCGUGAAUGUUAAGCCCUUCGGGGUGUAAAGUUC